GUGUAGUACUGCACCAGAGGGGCCGUCUGUCGGUGGUAGGAGUCCAGGCGGGAGUGCAGCGUCCUCUCGUUGUCGUCGCUGCGGCGGAUGAGCGGCUCGCCCGUCACCUGAGCGACAGGGAUGAAGAAAGAGAAGGAAAAAGACAGCGCUGUUAUCACAUCAGUUCUCUGUGCUCAGCCUAAGGUCAAGUGAGUCUGGUGUAAAAACUACUUACGUCAUCCUUCAUGGGCUCUUUGGGGGGGUUGAACUCCUCGUGGUAGGAGCGGCCACUGGGCUGAUGAAUUAGUCUGUGGAAAUGGAGGGAAGACAGAAGAAGAAGAGGAGGAGGAGGACAGAUGAGGGUUAGACAGACAGUGACUCACUAUCUACUUAACUGUCGGUUUCACAUCCCACAUGCUGUGUCAUGCUUGGGCUUGAAAAGGCAGCAGGCAGCUUUCUCUUCCUCACAAAGGACCACAUGGACACACAGAUUAAUCUUUUCAAACUAUAAUCUGUAUUGUCACUUCAAUGUCGCAUACAGAUAUUGUGUAGGGGUUAUUGUGGCGAAAGGGGACAACCGCUAUGCUGCAAUAACAAACACCGAUAAAAAAAAGUCACUCAGUCACUCACAAAAAAUUAAUUGACGAUUAAUUUUAGUUAAAUUAAUUAAGGUAAUUUUUUCCAGCCACUCAACUAAAGUGCAAUAUUUGUUUGUGCUCCAGCUCCGGAGGAAGCCUCUUUUUUUUUUUUUUUUUAGCAGCUUCUCGCUAGAUGUUAAUAUGAAAAUACAGAUUUGUCAUUUUGAGUGUCUGAAUCUCAAUGUUUAAGCUUCUUGAACUUGAAAACAAAAGUACAAAUCGGACCCUGAGCGCUUCGUAACCCGGCACAUGGACUUGUGGAAGGAUUCAACUUGUGACCUUCACGCUCCACUUCCCCGCCAACAUUAUCUCACUUUCCCAGACUCCUCUGUUCACAGCAAUCAAAUCAACCUGCUCGGGUGGAUUUAACACCGACAGAAUGAGGAGCUCCUCGCCGUCCCUCACGAAAAAAAUACCCUGAAAUCAUAAAGCGCUGCCAUCUAUCAACAACGUGCCUGGGAAAUGGAAACAGAUUGAACCGUCUCUCUGGUGUUUUAAAUAAUUGAUUCCCUCUUACGCCGGCUCCUACCUGCCACAGAUCCGGCGGACCAGCAGGGAGUCAUCAACAGCGAACUCGACCACAGAGUCCAGCUGCUCGCGUCUCUUGUCCAGCAAGUCGUCCAGCUGGAGGAGAUGAACAAGAGACAAUAUGGACGUUUUCACCAUCAGCUGAAAGUCUAAAAUGUUAAAUUUACUCUUUUUUUAUACUAUAUAUGUUUUAUACUAAAAUAUAAAACUUUCCCCAAACCA